CUGUGUGUCCCGAGGGCACUAACUCAGAGUGUCCUUUGACCCCUUCAUCAGUGUGUCACCCGGCCAAUUCGCUGAGCUCACUUUCUCCUCUCUCUCUCUCUCCCUCUCCCUGUCUUUCUCUUUCAUUCUUUUCUACCUGGCCCUGGUCUAUCCCAACAUAAAGGCAAUAAUUCAUUACCUCAUUAAUCUUUGGCAUUUAGGAAGGGUUGUAUAGCUCAUGUUAAAUAUUGCACUAAAAAUGUUUUUGAUGGUUUUCCUCCCUUUGAACUAGACACACUUCUAAUAUUUGGUUUAUAGUUUUAAAUUAUAACUUUCAGCAUCAAAUCGUAUCUGAAAGACUCUCUGGAACACAACCAGAAUCAUGUUUGGCCAAAUGUCCUGGCACCCUGGUGCUCGGUCACAGUGACAACUACAAGUAACUAUCACACAUGCCCUUUGUCAUAUUGGUGAUUUCCACUGUUUUUCUCCCAAACUGCAGCUUAUAUUUGUUCUCUUAAUACUGUUGAGCAAAAACUUUUAAUUUUUAUAAAGUCGAAU
rnacentral:lncRNA from 1 species